rnacentral:rRNA from 1 species
GACGAACGCUGGCGGCGUGCCUAAUACAUGCAAGUAGAACGCUGAAGAGAGGAGCUUGCUCUUCUUGGAUGAGUUGCGAACGGGUGAGUAACGCGUAGGUAACCUGCCUUGUAGCGGGGGAUAACUAUUGGAAACGAUAGCUAAUACCGCAUAACAAUGGAUGACACAUGUCAUUUAUUUGAAAGGGGCAAUUGCUCCACUACAAGAUGGACCUGCGUUGUAUUAGCUAGUAGGUGAGGUAAUGGCUCACCUAGGCGACGAUACAUAGCCGACCUGAGAGGGUGAUCGGCCACACUGGGACUGAGACACGGCCCAGACUCCUACGGGAGGCAGCAGUAGGGAAUCUUCGGCAAUGGGGGCAACCCUGACCGAGCAACGCCGCGUGAGUGAAGAAGGUUUUCGGAUCGUAAAGCUCUGUUGUAAGUCAAGAACGGGUGUGAGAGUGGAAAGUUCACACUGUGACGGUAGCUUACCAGAAAGGGACGGCUAACUACGUGCCAGCAGCCGCGGUAAUACGUAGGUCCCGAGCGUUGUCCGGAUUUAUUGGGCGUAAAGCGAGCGCAGGCGGUUUGAUAAGUCUGAAGUUAAAGGCUGUGGCUCAACCAUAGUUCGCUUUGGAAACUGUCAAACUUGAGUGCAGAAGGGGAGAGUGGAAUUCCAUGUGUAGCGGUGAAAUGCGUAGAUAUAUGGAGGAACACCGGUGGCGAAAGCGGCUCUCUGGUCUGUAACUGACGCUGAGGCUCGAAAGCGUGGGGAGCGAACAGGAUUAGAUACCCUGGUAGUCCACGCCGUAAACGAUGAGUGCUAGGUGUUGGAUCCUUUCCGGGAUUCAGUGCCGCAGCUAACGCAUUAAGCACUCCGCCUGGGGAGUACGACCGCAAGGUUGAAACUCAAAGGAAUUGACGGGGGCCCGCACAAGCGGUGGAGCAUGUGGUUUAAUUCGAAGCAACGCGAAGAACCUUACCAGGUCUUGACAUCCCGAUGCUAUUUCUAGAGAUAGAAAGUUACUUCGGUACAUCGGUGACAGGUGGUGCAUGGUUGUCGUCAGCUCGUGUCGUGAGAUGUUGGGUUAAGUCCCGCAACGAGCGCAACCCCUAUUGUUAGUUGCCAUCAUUCAGUUGGGCACUCUAGCGAGACUGCCGGUAAUAAACCGGAGGAAGGUGGGGAUGACGUCAAAUCAUCAUGCCCCUUAUGACCUGGGCUACACACGUGCUACAAUGGUUGGUACAACGAGUCGCGAGUCGGUGACGGCGAGCUAAUCUCUUAAAGCCAAUCUCAGUUCGGAUUGUAGGCUGCAACUCGCCUACAUGAAGUCGGAAUCGCUAGUAAUCGCGGAUCAGCACGCCGCGGUGAAUACGUUCCCGGGCCU